AAAAAACCGUAUUUGCAGCAGUACCGCCAACCAAACAAGUGGUCGCGUGACCUCGUUCCCUCGACUGUCGGUGGCGUUAUCAAAAUUGCUUGCGCGCGCUGUCGCGGUCCGCAUCACUGAAGUAGUGAUAUGUGGAUGUUUGGUAUUUGGUACUCAAAUACACAGACACAAUAUUGAAUAUUCGUAAUUGGUAUUGGUGUCUGGUACUCUGGUGUACUGUUGUACUAACUAUUGGUGUCUGGCGUUGGCGUAGUGGCGUCUGCCCUCUGGCGCUGACGUCCACCGCCACAGCCACACCAGCAGUCAUGACAAAAUAUAAUAUUAUGGUAACAUACAUUUUGUCAUGAACUCAUGGACGAUUGACUGAUUGAAGUCAUUUGACUGGGCAUGGAGGUGGUAGCUGUAGCCGACGGUGGCACGGUGACUGCAAUUCGACAAAUAAAUGUGUACAACGAAAAUACCGGACAUUUUGUAACUUGUAAGUUACUCACCUGUUCCCAUAACAAUUCAUAUUUGAUGUUGAUGGAUUGAAGAUCAGAAUACAGCGACUUUUAAAUAAUACAUUAGAAGCUCUAUAUAAUCAAAAGUAAAACAAUUAUUUAAAAAUACAAUGGCAAUCAAAACGGAAAAAAAAAUUAAGAAAGUUAUUACUGAAGGAGAAUACACCAAUGGAUGAAGUUCUUUUUUUACGUUAUAGAAUAUUAUAUGAACCUACAUUUGUAUACAAUACUAUUAUUAACGCAUAGUAUAGAAUCGACACUCGAUUAAGCUAUCAAGUUCUUGUUUACCUGUGAUAGCUGUUACCAAUACCAUUAAUUAUUGGAAUCAAGCUUGUUAUAGGAUAUGCUAAAAUAUUAAUCAUGUAGAAAUGUUUAUUCGUUUUAUUACAAAAUAAUUGUUGUAUUUAUAAUCAUAA